rnacentral:rRNA from 1 species
UACGUAGGGGGCAAGCGUUGUCCGGAAUCAUUGGGCGUAAAGAGCGUGUAGGCGGUCCGAUAAGUCCGAUCUGAAAGCCCGGGGCUCAACCCCGGGAGGCGGGCGGAUACUGUCGGGCUAGAGUCCGGAAGAGGCAAGUGGAAUUCCUGGUGUAGCGGUGAAAUGCGCAGAUAUCAGGAGGAAUACCGAUGGCGAAGGCAGCUUGCUGGGACGGUACUGACGCUGAGACGCGAAAGCGUGGGUAGCAAACAGG